rnacentral:rRNA from 1 species
GACGAACGCUGGCGGCGUGCUUAACACAUGCAAGUCGAACGGUGAAGCGCCUUCCUUUUUGGUGGGUGUGGAUGAGUGGCGAACGGGUGAGUAACACGUGAGUAACCUGCCCCCUUCUUCUGGAUAACCGCAUGAAAGUGUGGCUAAUACGGGAUAUUCUGGGUCUGUCGCAUGAUGGGUCUGGGAAAGAUAUUGUUUCGGUGGGGGAUGGGCUCGCGGCCUAUCAGCUUGUUGGUGGGGUGAUGGCCUACCAAGGCGGUGACGGGUAGCCGGCCUGAGAGGGUGGACGGUCACACUGGGACUGAGACACGGCCCAGACUCCUACGGGAGGCAGCAGCGGGGAAUAUUGCGCAAUGGGCGCAAGCCUGAUGCAGCGACGCCGCGUGAGGGAUGGAGGCCUUCGGGUUGUGAACCUCUUUCGCCAGUGAAGCAGGCCUGCCUCGUUUGUGGGUGGGUUGACGGUAGCUGGAUAAGAAGCGCCGGCUAACUACGUG